rnacentral:lncRNA from 1 species
UCUAAAAAUACCCAUUUUUAUUGGUUUUCAAUCUUGAGCAUUAACCAAUCGCUUGCCUUGGUGGGCGGGACUUCAGUGGUCAGCCAGCGGAGAGCAGCUCAAGUUUAAAGUUGGAAGUCGAAAAGUUAUUUAUUUAUAUAUUUAGCAACUUUUUUGUAUUGUUGGUUAAACUAGAGGCUGGAAUCAAUUUGAAGUAUUUUAAACGCGUGAAACGAACCAUCUUUGACGCAGCUGUUCGUCUGUAGUUUAAUUCCGUUGCGUAACGUAAAGCUAGUCGGCUAAUGCUAGGUCAUCGCACCUCGAGGCCCCGGAGCAGCGUCGUGCUAAAGACCCGCUACGUGUCCGCUCGGGGCGAGGACCGAACAGGUGACGGUCGUGUUUUCAGAGAAAUGAACACGUCCGUCUGCCGGCCGCCCCCUGGGACGCUGCACAACACAUCAAAAACAACCGGCUGCUUGCUCUGUAAACACAGAAUCAACAUCAG